UACGUAGGGUGCAAGCGUUGUCCGGAAUUAUUGGGCGUAAAGAGCUCGUAGGCGGUUUGUCGCGUCUGCUGUGAAAACUCGGGGCUUAACCUCGGGCCUGCAGUGGGUACGGGCAGACUAGAGUGCGGUAGGGGAGACUGGAAUUCCUGGUGUAGCGGUGAAAUGCGCAGAUAUCAGGAGGAACACCGGUGGCGAAGGCGGGUCUCUGGGCCAUAACUGACGCUGAGGAGCGAAAGCGUGGGGAGUGAACAGG
rnacentral:rRNA from 1 species